GCCACACCCUGGUGUCUCUCAGCCAGUUUAAGCUGGUGUUAAGGUAGACAAGCAGACUGGUUAAGACCACCAAGACUAAAUGAAGUUGUUUGUCACGGACAUCUUAGGAGGAAGAGAAUACAGAUACCAGACAUUUUCUUUACUAAAAUGGACAGGUUUUGUUUUCUUUUUUCCUUUUAAACGAUUUUUUAUGUAGAAGAAAUUUGAAAAUUUGGAGGCAGCACCAGCUUUUUUUUAAAUGAAGAAUGGUGUAUAUGAACUGAGUCUGUCUGCAUGAUGCAGCUCUGAUGUUUCUUGGGUGAAGAAAAUCUACUUUGGGUCCCAAUGCGACUGACAAGGACUGUGAAAGAACAAUAUGAACCCCAAGAUGAUUCUCUUACUCCUGAUGAUUGAGACCGGGAUAAGUAUACCCUUGUAGGCCAAAGUAAGAUCAUGGCCAGUACCUUUACCGGUACAGUCCAAUUUGUCUACCUAGCCUUUAUUUUUUGCAAAGGAAUGUUUUUUAGAUGUGCCUUAUACACAACAAACUCCUCAAGAGCCAUAGAUGUAUAAGAGUACUAGUUUUCAUUUAAAUUAUACAUUAUGCUUUGUGCAUAAUGUGGAUAAACUUUUUAUACCCUAUAUAUUUUUAAAGAAAAAGAUUAUCGCUAAUUGGGCAGAUCCCAUUAUCCAAAAUAAAGUGAGCUCUAGAGUGUUAUUUAAUGCUUUAAUACAAAUUGCUCAAGGGCCACAACCAAGAUCAGUGAUGUUGAAAAUAAUGUAACUUCAUAUAUAAACAUCACCACUAUCAGGAUAAAGAGAAAUGUGACUAUUCCCAAAAGAUCACGAUAGCCUGUUGGCAAUGCUACUGCUAUAUGCAGCAUGUCUUGGUCAUUCAGACCUCGAAUUUCCUAUAGUUUUUUCACCUUGUCAAUCAAAUGUUUUUCCUCGAAAAGAAUUAGGAAAGGGUUUCGUUUUGUCAUCACCAUUAGAUUAUGCUGUUAUGUAUGGUAAAGGAGAUGCUACAGAGAAAGAAAAUAUUUGGCCAUAUUACCGAUAGAUUUUAAGUAAUGAGGCAGAUGCUAGUACCAGUUUGUCAACCUUUGCACUGUUGACUAGAACCUUUGAUGAGAUAUUUAAUGUUUCUGCCACACUUUCCAAUAUCUCUACUCAUUUGAAUAAUGUGACAUCUAAUAGAGUUAUCGAAAAUAUGACUACUCCUCCAAUAGAAGUUUGUUUCAAUUUUCCACGUUUCUUUAUAUUGGCUGAAUUUCAAUAUAAUACAGAAUGGUUAGAUUCUACAAAUGUCACUUGUUUUUUGAUACAAUGCUGAAAUGAAAUUAAUUUCUUAGCCUUAGUGGUACAUUUACCAACCUUUGUCCCUGUGCCUGUUGAGGCAGAUCCAAAGAAGUUCCCAAUCAUGAGUCUUGUCCGGCAGAAGAUAGAUUUUGGAAUCACAGCCGCCACUGUUACUGCCAUUGCAGUGUCCGCAGCAUCUGCGGUUACUACAGAAAUUGCUAUGGCCUAUCAAGUCAAUAUUGCUGAUACUAUAAGUCAGAUAACAGAAAAAACGUCUGAGGCAUUGCUUACCCUGCAAAGGGUGGAUUCUCAUAUUGCCUCAGGAUCAUACAAAUGAGUUGUGUGGCAUCAACUUUACAGAUGUGCAUUACUCCUGUUGUGUAUACUAAUUAUUCUUUUAUUAAAAGUACAGGUCUAUCGAAUUAUCUGAAAGGGGAACUGGUCGCAGAAGCUGGAAAGGUUGCAGACGAAGCUACAGAUACAAAUCCUGAACCUUAUUGGAACCAGAGUGGAACCAGUGACCCUUGGAGACUUCACCUCUUGACUUACCUCUGCAUUUUUCUCACUUCAAAGAAUGGGUGGGGGUGGCUCUGUUUAGCGCAGCCCUGUGUUGUGGAUUAGUGCUUAUACUAUGACUGGUUUGCAAACUCAGAUCUCAGCAGAAACGUGACAAGGUGGUAAUUGCUCAAGCACUUGCUGCCAUAGAGCAAGGCACCUCCCCUGAAAUUUGGCUAUCUAUUCUCAAGAAUUAGUUGGCAUUUGAGUUCUCUGCCUUUGCAUUCCAUGAAUUUGUGGAUACAUUGCAUUGAGAUGAGAGAAACUCAACGAUCAUUGAUCAACCCGUGUGCAUUGCUGAGGUUUCCUCAUUGCAUGUGAUAGAGUGACCAUGAUUUCCCCACUAAUUCAUUUUUGGCUGGCCUCUUCUGUAGAGUUCACCCUAGGCCAUUUAGCAGUUAUAGUCACACAGCACUGUGGUAUCCAGAGACGGGCAACUUUCCUCGUGCACAGACCAACCUAAGACAAUGGGGNNNNNNNNNNNNNNNNNNNNNNNNNNNNNNNNNNNNNNNNNNNNNNNNNNNNNNNNNNNNNNNAUGUGGAGAGCCGCAAUAACAUUUACCAUCUUAAGAUGGCGCUGGCUCCGCAGUGCCUUAUGCCACCUAAACAAAGAACAAGCUAUAUGUGCAUCUGCUAAAAGCAAAAACCCACCAAAAGUCACCAGCCCAUUUCCGGGGCACCGGUCCAUCCCCCAGGGCACUAGCCCAACCCCUGGGGCGUUUAGCCUAUCCCUAGGGUGCAUGAGAUUUGUGGGNNNNNNNNNNNNNNNNNNNNNNNNNNNNNNNNNNNNNNNNNNNNNNNNNNNNNNNNNNNNNNUUAUGAAGUAAAGUUAACCACGAAAGAAUCUGGCGUGUCCUGUGUCUGUUUCUGCUGGCGGGAACAGGCUCAGGAUACAGUUCCACCUACUUUUUGUAAGUGACAUCAUUUUUGUUCAUGGCUGAAUAUUCUACUAUCAUAAAUAUGUGUAUUACAUAUUCUUCAUUUAUUAAUAAGAGAAAAGGUAUCUUAGUAAUUUUCUAACUUGUCUAUUAUAACUGCCAUAUUAAAUAUGAGUAUAUUG
ensembl:processed_transcript